AGUUAAAGCCUAGCACCCUGGGCGGCUGUCGAGGUCCAUCCUCCUCCUGUCUGUCCGAAUGGCACUAGGUUUUCUUCUCCCAUUGUCCUUUCUCUCUGAGCGGCGCCGGGAGUAUGUGCAAAUUGGAAGGAAGAACGGAAUCAACUUGCAGCCACUGUAAGUUGAUUUCCCUUUUUUAAAUAAACACUGAUUUCUCCUAUACAUGUUUGCUCCUGUAGUUUCAGAAGUGAAGUGGAACAUGGGCACAUCUUCUAAAUUUAUGGCCUUCAAGCUGCGGUAGCGGCAAGGCCACCGUGAUCGCUGCUGAGUCGAGCCUUGCCAUCUUAUCAGUGCACUUCCAGCAGCAACUGCUGCCCUAGACCAUGACACUCUUCGAUCUCCAUCUAAAAGGUUAGGAGGGAGGAGGCACCAGUUGAGUGAUGAGCCGCUUGCCCGGCUAGGAAAAUAGAGGUAAGUAGCCAAUUCAACCUUGAGACCAUUUGUUCAGGUUAUGAGCCAAUUCCUUUUAAUUUUGAUUAGAGACUGGACAUUGCAAAGAGACUAUGUAUAGAACGGUUCCGAUGAAUGAAUCCCCAGCACCAUCAGUUGUAGCUAUGAGUUCAACAGGUGGUAUGACUUGUGCAAUACCAAGAAGAUACCGGCCACUUAUAUUCAGCAUAAACAAGUGAAUUUAGAAAAUAACCAAUUCUUGAGUAGCAGGUCUGAUAUGUCAGUGAAGGAAUAAAACUAUGCCUAUUUGUUCUCAUGUACCUGGCUUUCAAUGUUACUGAAUUUGACUGAAACAAAGAACAAAAGCUUAAACAAAUGGAGUAGGAAAGUAAUCUAUGCUUAUUCUUUCUCGAGUUCCUGGCUUCACAUGUUACCGAAGAAAAGGAGUUAUGCCUACAACUUUUUAAGUAGCAGUCUAGGAAUAUUUCAGGAACACCAGGUAUUAACUUAUUUCUAUGCAUCACUUGUUUUAUUUCAUAAACUUUGAAAUUGUGCACUGAUCCAUUUGGUUUCUUCUCGUAGUCCCAGAUUGUUGUUGCAAAAAAUCUUUCUGGUGAUCCCUCCUACUAGAAUCUUAAGAAGAUAGUGUGAUUUGAAUCUGAACUCAUAUCCUCAGACACCAAAUGAUCUGCCAAGUUAGAUAUGCUUUUUGCUAACAUAACAAGGGAACUGCACCCUGCUUCAGUAUUAUAUUCUGACCAGUUAACAAAAUCCGGUGGUUGCAGCAGCAGGAUGGAUAUGACUCUGGGGAGGUUGAGUUUAGUCUGAUGCUCUUUUCUAAUGAGUUCUCAGAGAUUAUGGAGCAGAUUGACCGUGAUGUAAAGUGUACCACCCUGACAUGCAUUUCUUUUGUGCAAAUGCCAAUAGUUGUCUCUUCCACCAAAGCUGGCGUGGAGGGAGAGGGAGGGAGGGCUAGGGGGAGCACCCCUUAAGUUUUGUAAACCCUCUAAUGCAAACAGAGUUCCAUGUAAUUCAAAGAAAAAUACUGACUCAAAGACAUCAUUGGAGGAGUUGGGACCGGAGUCACAGGACAUGGCACUAUGAACCACGAGUACGUGCUCACUCUCCUAGCGUGGCAUUUCUUGCUAUGCCUGUUUCAUUCCCCUAUCAUUGUAGUCUCCUUCCUGAUCCAUGCUCCAGAUGCCUAGAUGCAUUUGGAGCUAAACUUCAGCCUAUCAUUGUCCUCCUACGUACUGUUGUCCAGGUGCACCAACCUCGCUGUCAGUGUGCUCACUAGGAGCAUAAAGCUAGGCCCUUAACAGAAGCUGAAUUCAAGUCUGCUGCUCCGAAUUAUCCUCUCAUCGGCAAGCCAGCAAUGGUGACAAAUGAUCCCUGGAAACAUGGCCUCAAGUCUGCCAUGAGCUAGAGCUAGACUAGAUAUUUGAAAACUGGUUACACUGACUCCUCAGCAUUUGUAAUGGCACGUGAGUUUUCGAAAAUGAAUAUGUAUUUUAAGAGCCA